rnacentral:rRNA from 1 species
CCUACGGGAGGCAGCAGUGAGGAAUAUUGGUCAAUGGUCGGGAGACUGAACCAGCCAAGCCGCGUGAGGGAUGAAGGUACAGAGUAUCGUAAACCUCUUUUGUCAGGGAACAAAGGCGGGGACGUGUCCCCGGAUGAGUGUACCUGAAGAAAAAGCAUCGGCUAACUCCGUGCCAGCAGCCGCGGUAAUACGGAGGAUGCGAGCGUUAUCCGGAUUUAUUGGGUUUAAAGGGUGCGCAGGCGGUCUGUUAAGUCAGCGGUCAAAGCCCGGGGCACAACCCCGGCCCGCCGUUGAAACUGGCAGUCGCGAGUUGGAGAGAAGUAUGCGGAAUGCGGGGUGUAGCGGUGAAAUGCAUAGAUAUCGCGCAGAACUCCGAUUGCGAAGGCAGCAUGCCGGCUCCACACUGACGCUGAGGCACGAAAACGUGGGUAUCGAACAGGAUUAGAUACCCUAGUAGU